GGCCGAGGAAGACGACUGUCAACGAAAUGUCAAUGUUUACGUAAGCUAACACAUGCUAAAUUUCCUUACGUCACUCAGCUAGCAAGGCAAAAGCGUCCCAGCGAUCAGCAAGGUAGCCACCACCCUUAUGUGUAGGAGAAUGUGACACGGCUUCAUCGUGUCAACAUGAAGAGUUCUGGCAAUCUCCGCAGGAUUUAAAAACACUUCUCAGCACAGAGACAGGGCCGCGCAUGGACGUCCAUGCCUUCUGAGCACCUCUUCCGUCCCUUCCACUGCAGUGGGUGCGUGGAGCAGUCGACCGUUCAGCCCCUCCGCGAGCCCCAACCCCGGACUGUGACGUGGACGCGUGCGAACCCGACUCUCCUCGACGCCUUGCCUCGAUCGAUCAAUUUGGCCUGGGGCGGGGUGACUGAUAGCUCUCCAACAUACGCCUGUGUGCUGUGGAUUCCCUCAUUCAGCAAAGAUUAUUUUAAGACCAAUGUUUCUUUAAGAAUAGACUGCCUCAGUAUCAUCAUAAAAUAUACAGAUUGCAUAUCACAACACUAGAUAUACCACAACUUGUAGUAUAGCAGGGGCGUUACUCGACAUAAAACAACUGGGACACAGGGGCUGCAGGUCCUUUAGUACCGUUCCUAGUACAUUGGCCGCAACAACAGGUCCGCGGCCCGAUAUGAGUCUACGGACCACUCGGUACCAGGUUGCAGAUAUUUAGAAAAAAAUGUUCUGUAGCAGAGCAUAUGUGCCCCAAUUGUAAUAUAUCACCACUGCGGUAAUGUAAUAGCAGUCGGAUCAUGUACCGGUCUGUGGCAGAAAAAGGUUGAGGACCACUGCCCUACUAUAUCCCCUUCCACACACGCAGACACACGCGCACACACACGCACAUACACACGCAAAACACCACUGCUAACUCUUACUAAAACUACUACUUGUUAUAUAUAAUGGAUGUACGAAUAGAUGGGACGUUAAAUUGUCCCUAAUGAGGAUAAGCAGGGUGGAUGGAUAUUUCAACAACUGCGAACACUUUGAACACUACAACAAAAAACAUAACAAACCACUUUUUGUGUCACGCUACCACACAUCAAACUGCAUUGUGCGUUCCGCACUCCAGGGAGAGCUGUGUGCGUGGUGACCAGGAACGAGAUGGAAAAUCCUGAAUUUCAGGAACGUGUUUAUUUUCCCGAACAGCCAAUGGAAUACCCGGCUGGUCUAUGACAUCACGGCCAUGACUCAUGACGGCUGGUCGACAACAACCUUUCAAAGCAUGACGAACUUGUCUGUUUCUUGUUUUGCUGUACCGUCUAAUAUUUUCAUUUAAGUCCUUAAAUUCCAGUGUGGGUGAAUUCUGGUCCAUCUUAGAAAUCAAGCGCUGAAAUAAUUUUAAAUUGUGAAUGACGAGACGUAGGAUCUACGAGGAAGUGGAAUCAAGUCAUUCUGGUUUCAAAUACAGUACUGGCCCAAAUUAGAACAGGCACGAAGCAAAAUGAGACUAGGAUGAGCACCCACUCUGUCGAUGUCUACCCCAAGAUGUCAGUAAUGCCUAAGGCAUGGAGUUCAAUGAGACCAGCGGUCUGUAUCAGGGUUGCACAGUUGAUCUGCUCUGAGAUAAGAAAUUCUGAAUUUCCGGAUCCAGAAUCAAUUAAAUCAACUCGGAGUGUAUUUACCUGGAGUUCAGCGCCUAUUAAUUUAAAUAGACUAGUAUACAGAAUUGAAUGUUAAUUGAGCAUUUCAAAUUUAGCGGCACAUUGGUCGACUGGUCAGCAUAUCUCCCUUACAGUGCAGAGAUCCAGGUUUCAAUUCCAGCCCCGGCUUUCCUCUGUCGAGUUUGCAUGUUCUCACUGAGCUUGCAUGGGUUUUCUCUGGGUAUUCCGGUUUCCUCCCACAUUCCAAAAGAAAGCCUGAUAGGUUAAUUGGACACUAGUGUCCCACGGUGUGAUUGUGAGUAUGAAUGGUCGUUGUUUGCCUAUGUGUGCCCUUCGAUAGACUGGAAACCAGUUUAGGGUGUGCCCCGAGUGAACUGUGAACUGUAAAAACUACAUUUGGCUGUUAUGCUGCACACAAAUGGAAUAAACUGCCACAGGAGUGAAGUCAGAUCAGAGUGUAAAUGCUUUUAAAUAAAUUUUUUCUUUUAGUGAGAAAUCUACUUUUAUUUCCUCACUUUAAAAUAAUUUUAAAGUUUUCUCUAGAUGUGUUUGAAUGGUGUCAAUGUAUGUCCUGGCCAUUUUUGUUAAGUAACCUUUGUUUUCUAUGCUUUCCUUUUGAAUGUCGUUAACUGUUAUGUUUUUUAAUGUUUGGAGGUGGUGUGUCUUUGUGUGAAGCACAUUGAGUUGCCUUGUGUAUGAAAUUGCUAUAUAAACAAAUAAACUGCCUUGCCUUACAGUAGUACAUCACCACAAGUUACAAGGACAAAACGUUGAAUGAAUAACUCUUUUUAUAGUUUUAAUCAAAACUGACAAUUGAGGCAG